rnacentral:rRNA from 1 species
CUACGGAGGGUGCAAGCGUUACUCGGAAUCACUGGGCGUAAAGCGCGCGCAGGCGGCUAUUUAAGUUGGAUGUGAAAGCGUACGGCUCAACCGUAGAACUGCAUCCAAAACUAUUUAGCUAGAGUGUGGGAGAGGAAGAUGGAAUUAGUUGUGUAGGGGUAAAAUCCGUAGAGAUAACUAGGAAUACCAAAAGCGAAGGCAAUCUUCUGGAACACUACUGACGCUGAGGCGCGAAAGCGUGGGGAGCAAACAGGAUUAGAAACCCCAGUAGUCC